GGAUGCGAUCAUACCAGCACUAAAGCACCGGAUCCCAUCAGAACUCUGAAGUUAAGCGUGCUUGGGUGACAGUAGUACUAGGAUGGGUGACCUCCUGGGAAGUCCUCGUGUUGCAUUCUC
rnacentral:rRNA from 1 species